AAUCAAUGCAUCAGACAUUUCCUAAUUAACUCCUUAAAUCGCUCCCACGCUUCAUAUAAUGUUUCAUCUUCAACUGAAAGGAUGUAAUAUCAUUUCUCAACUU
rfam:Gossypium raimondii Chr02_contig_602, whole genome shotgun sequence.